CAAGACCUCAUGCUUUUGGAGCGGCCGAUGUCUGAUUAGCUAGUUGGUGGGGUAAUGGCUCACCAAGGCGACGAUCAGUAGUUGGUCUGAGAGGACGACCAGCCACACUGGGACUGAGACACGGCCCAGACUCCUACGGGAGGCAGCAGUGGGGAAUUUUGGACAAUGGGCGCAAGCCUGACCCAGCAAUGCCGCGUGAGUGAAGAAGGCCUUCGGGUUGUAAAGCUCUUUCGGUCGAGAAGAAAAGGCUGUGACUAAUAAUCAUAGCUCAUGACGGUAUCGACAGAAGAAGCACCGGCUAACUACGUGCCAGCAGCCGCGGUAAUACGUAGGGUGCGAGCGUUAAUCGGAAUUACUGGGCGUAAAGGGUGCGCAGGCGGUUUUGUAAGUCAGAUGUGAAAUCCCCGGGCUUAACCUGGGAACU
rnacentral:rRNA from 1 species